rnacentral:rRNA from 1 species
GACGAACGCUGGCGGCGUGCUUUAUACAUGCAAGUCGAACGAUGAAGUUCCUUCGGGAAUGGAUUAGUGGCGAACGGGUGAGGAACACGUGAGAAACCUGCCUUUCAUUCUGGGAUAACACCGGGAAACCGGUGCUAAUACCGGAUACUCCGUCUUGGCGGCAUCGCCGAGCCGGGAAAAAACUUUGAUGAAAGAUGGUCUCGCGGCCUAUCAGCUAGUUGGUGAGGUAAUGGCUCACCAAGGCGACGACGGGUAGCCGGCCUGAGAGGGCGACAGGCCACACUGGGACUGAGACACGGCCCAGACUCCUACGGGAGGCAGCAGUAGGGAAUAUUGGGCAAUGGGCGCAAGCCUGACCCAGCGACGCCGCGUGAGGGAUGAAGGUCUUCGGAUUGUAAACCUCUUUCAGUAGGGAAGAAGCGAAAGUGACGGUACCUAAAGAAGAAGCACCGGCUAACUAUGUGCCAGCAGCCGCCGUAA